UCUUGCCUCAGCCUCCCAAGUAGCUGGGAUUGCAGGCAUAAGCCACCGUGCCCAGCCCUCCUUUCUUAUGAAAUUAAAGAGUCCCGUGGUGCUCAUGAAACUUGACGAAGGUGCCAGGAGCUGAGGGUGACAGACGUCCGUGAGUGGAGGUGAGGAGACUGUCCUUGGGAAACAGACUGAAAUGGGGACUUUUCAGUUUGGGACCGUGCACGGAGAAGCAGAGGCGACCGAUCGGAGGCACAGAUGUCGUGGAAACUGCUGAAGGGUACACUCUAGUAAAACAGGAGAGUAAACCAACAAAGAAGAAGACAUGCUUGAAGUCAAGCACGUCAAGAUUAUAGCAAGGAGAGACUUCCCAUACCAACAGCCAGGAAUCCAGGCUGAAGCAGGAGGAUGGAAAUCUUUAUGAAAAACAAGAAACUGUAAAAUUGAAGGCAGAUGUACCUGAGUUGACUUUGGAUAGAAUCGAAAUGGUGACGCUAAUGGUUCCCUAUGUGAUUUCUAGCAUAUCAUUUGGAAGAAGUUGGAAUAACCAGUGACAUCCUUCCAUCAACGCUGCCUCCAUUUCCAUCUCCUUGUUUAUGUGGAUAAGUUGCCUUGGCAUUUAUAUCUAUACAAAUUUUAAAAAAGCAGGAAUAAAAUUCAUGUCGAACUUUGGCUCAUUCUACAGAAAGAUAAUAUUCAUCUAUGGAUACUUAAAAUAAUAAAAAAGACUUAAAAGUAAAUAACAGUCUUACUCAUCUCAUUAAUGGAAUUAUUGACUAUAAAAUAUUAUCUUAAUGUUUAUAAAAACUGUAAGGCAUUGAAGAAUAAUUUGUGAUCAGUGGAAAUAAAAACAUCUAUAAUUUCUGUAUAUUUAUAUAUCUUCUUUUUACAGAAAAGUAUGACAGGGUAAUCAAUAAAUGAUUUUCAAAUAUAAAUAUUUAUUACAUUAGAAUAAAAUCCUAUGGAGGAGAUGGAAUAGAAACACCAGUUGAGAGAUUUAAAAACAAUAUGAAAUAUUUGACUCUUAAGGAAGAAAUGGUUCUUUCUUGUAUUUUAAAUAUGGGUGAUCAUAGCUAUCCAAUGGUGCUGAUGUUAAAUGGUUAGUGCAUUUAAGACAAUCAUGUAAUGAUUUUGCA